CAUGAUGUGUGUGGCUGUUUUGGGCCAGUCACCACUGCCCUUUCAUUAUUCUCUUCAUCCUUCAUGUUUGAGCUUGCUGAAGAGGCAAAUAGGCUUGUGAACUAAGUGGAAGCUCUUGGUGAAAUAGUUGAACAACUGGGUAAAAAAGGCU